AUGCACAUGAAUGAGUUGGUAUCCCAUGGAAUUGAAUACAAGAUAACUCAAGAUAAGGGGACACAUGCUAAUGCUCCUAGUUUAGUUAUCCCUGUGGUCUCAGCUCCUUUCCAAGAAGCGAUGCAUGUUUUGCCAAGCUCAUGCAGAUGUGGGAGUAGGCGCCUUGAGUGCGGCAUGUUACUCCCCCCUAUUCACAAAUAUAUACAUGCCACCAUGGGAAGUGUGCAAUUAAGCAUUGCCAAUCUUGGACCUUUUAAUAUUGCAAAACCAAAGGGUAUCCAGAUGCCUUCAUUUGAAAUGAUAAUUGCCCCUUAUGGGGUUAACGUUCGGAUGGAAAAUAUAUUCAUAAAAAGAAACCCAGCAUCCUAG
rnacentral:rRNA from 1 species